UAGAGUUUGAUCCUGGCUCAGAGUGAACGCUGGCGGUAGGCCUAACACAUGCAAGUCGAACGGCAGCACAGGAGAGCUUGCUCUCUGGGUGGCGAGUGGCGGACGGGUGAGGAAUACAUCGGAAUCUACUCUGUCGUGGGGGAUAACGUAGGGAAACUUACGCUAAUACCGCAUACGACCUACGGGUGAAAGCAGGGGACCUUCGGGCCUUGCGCGAUUGAAUGAGCCGAUGUCGGAUUAGCUAGUUGGCGGGGUAAAGGCCCACCAAGGCGACGAUCCGUAGCUGGUCUGAGAGGAUGAUCAGCCACACUGGAACUGAGACACGGUCCAGACUCCUACGGGAGGCAGCAGUGGGGAAUAUUGGACAAUGGGCGCAAGCCUGAUCCAGCCAUACCGCGUGGGUGAAGAAGGCCUUCGGGUUGUAAAGCCCUUUUGUUGGGAAAGAAAUCCAGCUGGCUAAUACCCGGUUGGGAUGACGGUACCCAAAGAAUAAGCACCGGCUAACUUCGUGCCAGCAGCCGCGGUAAUACGAAGGGGGCAAGCGUUACUCGGAAUUACUGGGCGUAAAGCG
rnacentral:rRNA from 1 species